rnacentral:rRNA from 1 species
UGAGGAAUAUUGGUCAAUGGGCGGGAGCCUGAACCAGCCAAGCCGCGUGAGGGGAGAAGGCCCUAUGGGUCGUAAACCUCUUUUGUCAGGGAACAAAAGCGAGUAUGUAUACUAGUCUGAGUGUACCUGAAGAAAAAGCAUCGGCUAACUCCGUGCCAGCAGCCGCGGUAAUACGGAGGAUGCGAGCGUUAUCCGGAUUUAUUGGGUUUAAAGGGUGCGUAGGCGGCGAUGCAAGUCAGCGGUAAAAGCCCGGGGCUCAACCCCGGCGAGCCGUUGAAACUGCAGUGCUAGAGAAGGCGAGAGGUACGCGGAAUGCGCAGUGUAGCGGUGAAAUGCUUAGAUAUUGCGCAGAACUCCGAUUGCGAAGGCAGCGUACUGGCGCCUGACUGACGCUGAGGCACGAAAGCGUGGGGAUCGAACAGGAUUAGAUACCC